rnacentral:rRNA from 1 species
UUUAUAUCUUGACUGCGAACGGCUCAUUAAAUCAGUUAUAAUCUACUUGAUUGUAAAAUCUACAUGGAUAACUGUAGUAAUUCUAGAGCUAAUACAUGCAAAAAAUCCUGACUGUUAUGGAAAGGAUGUAUUUAUUAGGUACAAAAUCAAUGCUGGCACUUGUGUCAGGUUUAUUGAUGAUUCAUAAUAACUAAACGAAGCGCACGACCUUGAGUUGGCGCUGAUACAAACGAGUUUCUGCCCUAUCAACUUUCGAUGGUAGUAUAGAGGACUACCAUGGUUUCAACGGGUAACGGGG